rnacentral:rRNA from 1 species
UACGAGGGGGGCAACUGUUGUUCGGAAUCACUGGGCGUAAAGGGAGCGUAGGCGGGUUUCUAAGUAAGGUGUUUAAUCCCGGGGCCCAACCCCGGACAGGCACUUUAAACUGGAAAUCUUGAAUAGGGGAGAGGUCAGUGGAAUUGGAGGUGUAGCGGUGGAAUGCGUAGAGAUCUCCAAGAACACCAGUUGCGAAGGCGGCUGACUGGACCCAUAUUGACGCUGAGGCUCGAAAGCAUGGGGAGCAAACAGG